UCUACGUUAUCGAUAAAGAUGUUGAAGAGCACCAGUCCCAAGAUGGACCCUUGGGGGACACCACUCCUCACUGGUCAACCUGUUGACCACUAAAAAUGUGUUGAUCUAUUAUUAACCCCAUCUAUGUUCUUAAGUUAAGACCUAUCUCCUUUCAGUUUUAAUAGACACUUCUCCAUUAAUGACAAGAGGAAAUAUUGUCUGAGGUAGUAAUCAGCAAGAUAACUGGCAUAAGAGGAUGUGCAGAAAUAGAAGAAAAAAGAGCAGUCAACAGCAUAAAUUCAUUAAUAGGUUUAACCAUCAUAUUUCAAACUAGUGGAUGAGGGGUGGACAAAGGACCAUGCCUACAGACUGAGCAGGGUUUUUUGAAGUCUUGUUCUCUGCAUGAUGAAAUGCUCCACUCCAAGAACUGAAGACGCUAUGGAGGAACGGAGGCUCUUUUACACCUGCUGGGGGCACUGCAAUACAAAGAAAAGGAGCAAUGACUGCUGAAAAUCUUUCACCUUAGAAACUGACAAAAAAAGCUGCAACUGUCAGCAAAAAAAAAAAGAGAAGAUUAUCAGAAUUGAGAGCUGUCCCUGGGAGGAAAAAGGUGAUUAAAUGGAUUCACAAACCAC
rnacentral:lncRNA from 1 species